rnacentral:rRNA from 1 species
GACGAACGCUGGCGGCGUGCUUAACACAUGCAAGUCGAACGGUGAAGCUCUUCGUUUGUGGUCAGCUGCGGACGGGUGCGUAAGACUUGCACAACCUUCCCCCGGCCCUGGGUUAACUCCAACAUCUGGGGGCUAAUACCGGUUGUUCACCGGUUCCCCCGCUGGUGGGGGUGGAAUGGGUUGCCGGCUGGGGUUGGGCCCGCGGCUUAUCAGCUUGUUGGUGGGGUAGUGGCCUACCAAGGCGACGACUGGUAGCCGGCCUGAGAGGGUGACCGGCCACACUGGGACUGAGACACGGCCCAGACUCCUACGGGAGGCAGCAGUGGGGAAUAUUGCGCAAUGGGCGGAAGCCUGACGCAGCAACGCCGCGUGGGGGAUGACGGCCUUCGGGUUGUAAACCGCUUUCGGCAGGGACGAAGCGCAAGUGACGGUACCUGCAGAAGAAGCACCGGCUAACUACGUG